CAUGCGGGUAGGGACCACCAACCUUCUCAUACCUGGACCCACACCCAUACAGCCCUUGCUUGCCUUAGUGGUGGGGAAACUGAGGUGUGAAAGGCUGCUGCUUGCUAGACUUUCCCUGGGCUUGCUCUCUGCUGUGUGGAUUGAGUUUUUGUUUGUACGUAAGUCACUCAGAGGUCAGAGGUGUGUUAGCCCCUUAGAGCUAGACACAGGUGCUGUGAGCUGCUGGAGAUCAGCUCAGGUCGUCUGUAGGAGCAGCAAGUACCUUUAAUUCCUGAGCCAUCUCUGCAGCCCCCAUGGCCUGACCUUUGAAGGCAGAGGUGGUAAUGUGGGGUAGAUCACUUGCCUAAUUUGAGGCCUGGGGUGAAAUUCAGAUAACCACAUGGAGGAAAAGAGUUUUGAGGUGUCCAUAUAUUAGUAAAUCAGUCUCCAUUCCUAUGACAAGCAUGUGAAAGAAACCAUUCAACAACAAGAAGGCUGGUGUUGGCUCAUGAGUUUAGAAAUUUCAGCUCAUAGCUGCCUAGCUCCUCCAUUGCUUAGGCUCUAGCGAGAUGGGAACAUGAAGGUGAAGGGAAAUCUCAGGUCAGUCACAGGCAGCCUGCCCAGCUUCCUAAUAAUACUUGUUAGGGGAGCCACCCUUAUGUCACCUGUCCAUGAGCCCUCAUGGUGUGAUGGGCUCUACCAAGGAGGACCAAACCCUUUGGACACUUGGUUUCCAAAUUCUAACAAAUCUAAUUUGCUCCUGCGCUGUGGUAAGCUCCAUGACCAAAGGCAACAUGGGAAGAGAGGGUUGGUUUAGCUCUGGGUUCAUCUUGAGGGGUGUCAGGGCAGGAGCCGAGAAAUGUGUGGCUCCUCUUUUCAAAUGGCCCAGCUGACAAAGCACUGUGGCCUGAGCAAAACAAGGGUCUCGGAAGGCCAGAGGAGCCCCAGGCUGGGCUGAGGCACUGUUGUGGCUAGGGUAUGGGGCCCACCAUGGCUCUGGUCAUGGGUCUCUAAGUUCUGAGUUGAGCUUCCUGGCCUUCAGUUAGGGAGUAAGGUCUCCAAAUUGGCAAACUGGAUCCUGCCAGAGAUGGUGUUGAGGGACCCCCAGAAGCUGGCAGUGCACUGACCACUGAGAGCUAAGAUACUCAGCCCUGUCUACGUCUAAAGAGGUAGUGCCUGGAGUUGGUGCCGACACUCGAGGGGCUAAGUGCAGAGCCCGCUCCUUGGGUUGAGGGAGGAGCAAGUAGUGGUCACCUUUGGGUUUGGAAAGCCAUUGUCCAGAUCAGCAUUAAGGGACAGUGCAUGGAAAGAGAAUCACCCGGACAGUGAGCAGCCAGCAUGCUCGAAGGCCGCGUACACAGCAGGAGGAGUCUGGCCCAGGAGAUGGCUACAGACAGCAGACCAAGGGCUAAGGUCUCCAAGAGCCUGGGGGAGACCCCCCCACCCAUCUCUUGUUGGCUAAGGACCGGAGCAGGUGGCAAGCUGUUUUAAUGGAGUGGGGAAGGGGCAGCUGAGCCCUGUGGAGUAGUGGAGCUAAGUGUUUGAG
rnacentral:sRNA from 1 species